rnacentral:misc_RNA from 1 species
GAAAAAUAACCUAAAGAAUGAUAUAUAUAAGGACUAGUUUUAAGUUUAAAAGUUACUAUAAUUAGGUACACUCCGUAUCAUUGUAGGACUAGGACACACUAAAAGUUUACUAAGUUAUUUUUAGAAACGGAGAAAUAAAACUUCAUCCGAAUACAUCUGCUUUUGAGUAUGUGAGAAUCUAGACAAGUUUAAUCCUCAUAGAGAAGAAAAAAAAAUACCAUCAUUUAUUUUUCUUAUAUUAAAUAUGAGUGAACCUUGAAGGAAGCCUCAGGCCCCUGAACCAGCCAAUCGUCGUUUGGUGGCGUUGGAGACGGAGACGUGACCGAGCUUGUCUGCUUCGGAAUGUGGUGAUCGUUCUUUGAGAGGCAUAUAGUGACGCAUCCAUACACCAGUAUACACCUGUGCGGGUCUCAUAAUCUUGGUAUCAGGAUCAUCAAGGGACUCAUUCCAAUGAGACAAGUAACCGGCCAUCCGAGGAAUUGCAAACAAGACAGGAAAGAAUUCUGUUGGAAAUCCCAUUGCCCUGUAAAUUAAACCAGAGUAGAAAUCAACGUUUGGAUACAGCUUCCGUUUUACAAAGUACUCAUCUGAGAGUGCAGCUUUUUCCAGAGCAACAGCAACCUCAAUUAAAGGAUCACGACCCACAAUAGAAAAUACUUCAUCGGCCAGCGUCUUGAUGACUUUUGCUCUGGGAUCAUAG